GAUUAACGCUGGCGGCGUGCAUAACACAUGCAAGUCGAACGAUGAAACUUAAAUGAUUUCUUCGGAAUGAACUUAAGUGGAUUAGUGGCGGACGGGUGAGUAACGCGUGAGUAACCUGCCUUACACAAGGGGAUAGCCGUUGGAAACGACGAAUAAUACCCUAUGAAACUAUCACUUCGCAUGAAGCGAUAGUCAAAGUGUUAGCGGUGUAAGAUGGACUUGCGUCUGAUUAGCUAGUUGGUGAGAAAAAAGCCCACCAAGGCAACGAUCAGUAGCCGGCUUGAGAGAGUGAACGGCCACAUUGGGACUGGGACAAGGCCCAGACUCCUACGAGAGGGAGCAGUGGGGAAUUAUGCACAAUGGGGGAAAGCCUGAUGCAGCGACGCCGCGUGAUUUAGAAGGCCUUCGGGUUGUAAAAAUCUUUUGUAUAGGAAGAAAAUGACGGUACUAUACGAAUAAGGUCCGGCUAAUUACGUG
rnacentral:rRNA from 1 species